CUGGAGAAAUCAAGUGUAUAAGUCCUCUGUCGUCUCAGCCAUGGAAGAGAUCUUCAGACAUGAAGAGAUCGAGGAGUUAAAUGAAGUCAAAGAGCUAAAAGAAGAUUUACAAUAUUAGUGCCAUUUCAGUAUGAAAACAGAGAGAGAGCUGAGGCAGUGGAAAGAAAUGCAUGUUAUUGUAGGUAGCUGCAUGGACUAUCAGUGGAGGGACAAAAAGCUCUGAGAUUUGAUUAUAAAGAUCUUCAUUUGUGUUCUGAAGAUGAACGAAAGACUUGCGGGUUUGGAACGGCAUGAGGACUACAUCCAAAAUAGUGUUUCCACAUCUGAGAUGAAGGCAGUCAUAAGAACCAAGCGGAACGAUGAGGAUAAGCUCUUCAGAAAAUGAAACCUGUCUGAAUAAUGAGGGAAGAAAUGUGCAUGAUUGCGUGAUUUGUAAAUAAACACUAAAUACUUUUAGUGUAACUCUCAGCCUGUUAUUUUAAGUUUAAAGAAAAGUA